GGUGCGCGCUCGCAGGCGCCCGGGCGGCGUCCUCUCGGAGAAAGGCGCAUUGUGCAGCACGGGGGCUGGGGGCAGGGGGCCGGCCGCUGCUUCCCGUUCCUUGUUUAUUCAGCCCAGAACAGAUGGCCCGUUAUGCAGGACGCGGGGAAGGUGGGGGUGUCCCGAGAGCCCUUGGGUCUGAACAAGUCCGAGUCCCCCAUCCUCCAGCACUUAGUUCUCUUUCUGUUCCUGUUUCCUGGUGCCAAAAAUGUGACGCAAAGGCCGCUUGGGACCUGGCUGGGGAGAUGGUGAGGAGGUGGGAGCCUCGGUUUAGCCCCUGGACAGUCAGAGUUGGGGACUCCAGAUGUGCUUUACCUGGAUUGUAGCUGCCUCUGGCACUCAGUGGCACGCCUGAGCUCGUGGCUUUCCCUCUGCCACUCCCCCAAGAAACAAAGCAAAGCAACACAAAACCCUCUGCCGCCAAGGAACACAAACUUCCCAGGUUUUCCUAGUAGGAAAGGACUCUUCACGAUCAUCAAUAAUCAAAGCAGCUUGGUCUGUGGCUGAACCACCAGGAAAGACUGCAAUGGAGCUGAUUUGGUUUUAACAGAGGAUGGUCAGGAGAAAAGAGAGUGAAACUAUGACUGGCAAUGUCCCCAAAAUUAGAGAUGUUGCCAAAUUCAUUGUGAUUACAGAUGCACUGUUCCUCUUCCCAUCCACACUGCAGUGAGGACGAAGCCUGGCAAGUGCCCAGAGCUUAAAAUGGGCAGUGUGAUGUUAAGUCCUUUCAGUACCUGUGAGAGGGAUGGGGAGUGUGAAGAUGAUUAUAAGUGCUGCCAGAGUGUGUGUGGGAAACUCUGCUUUCCACCACAGAAAGCCUGAUCCCUGACAUUUGCAGACAGCUCUGAACUCCUGCUCUGUGUGGUCUGGAAACUCCUUCUCUGUGCCCAGGUUCUUCAACUCCCAGGCUUGGAUCCAGUGGAGAGGGUUUUCUUCUGCCACCAACAGCUCCUUUUGGCAUGUGCUCAACAUUCAGGAGACUUAAAGGAAAUAGCAUUGGAGAGCAAAUAAAUAAAUGGGUCUAUGUCUCUAAGCACACCCUGCCAUGGUGAAUCACUGAGGGUAGAGUGUGGCAAGAAUCAACAAGGGAAGGCUUGGGGAUGAGGCUUCCUGUAAUGAUAAGUCUUUCUGCCAAGCUUCCCGAGCCCCACCACCACAUGUGUGGCCAAAAUAACACACAGAGACUUAUGUUAGUUACAAUGCC